ACAAGGUCAUUGACCUUGGUGUCAGUUGAAAGUGCCUAAUUAGUGGAGUAUGCAUACCAAAUAUGAAGUCUCUAUCUCUCACUGUUCAGAAGUUAUGGCGAAAGUUCGAAAAAGCUAUUUUUAGCAUAAAGGUCACAAUCAAGGUCAUAAGGUCAUUGACCUUGGUGUCAGUUGAAAGUGUUUUUGUAGUGGAGUAUCCAUACCAAAUAUGAAGUCUCUAAGUCUGACAGUUCAAAAGUUAUGGCGAAGGUUAAAGUUGACAACAGACAGACAUACAGCUAAACAGACAGACAGGACAAAAACAAUAUGCGCCCCGAAAAAAUUUGGGUGCAUAAAAACUGUCUUGGAGUUCACAGCAGUUCUCUGUUUCUCCUGAAUGUUAUGUACAAUUUGAUCGGGAUCGGAAGAAUGUUUCAAAAAGUCGGGCUCAGUGAUCAAUUAAUUUAAACAACAGACCGCCAAAAUUUAACCUUGGCCUCCAUGUUGCAACGUCUGCUCUGUCUAAAGGAAGAAGUUUGUUGACCAGACAGCCUGAGAUCGUAUUGCUGUAUCAACCAAAAGAUGCAGAUACACGUAUUUCAUAUGCGUGUCUGUGCAUGAGGAGGAGAUUUCUGAAAAAGAAUAAGUGCUUAUUCAAUUUACUGCGAUUUUAACGGGCUUAAAGCUUGGUCCAUGGAUGGUUAUGUUUGAGGAUUUGCCAAUCUGACCGCAAGUGCUGCUGCAAGAAAUUAAACAUGCAGAGACCUUACAAAUUACAAAGAAGUCUGAAGAAAAUUUUUAUUGGACAGAUGGGUGUAAAGCACAGACCUGAGAUAUAAAUUGAAUUGUGAGAAAUAUGAAUCAGGGAUGCAGGUAGAAAAUGGCAAAUGUGAUCCAGAUUGAUAAAAAAUGUCUAAAAUUUUUUCUUGUUUUGUAAAUAUUCAAUGCUAUGUCAAUUGUUAUUUUUUCCCCAAUACCUAAUAGUGUUGAACAUUUCACUCCCACUUUUGCUUAAAUAGAAUGAAUAAAUUUCCAUUUAUUUAAUAUGAAUAUUAAAAAAUGCCACAUUUUUUC